rnacentral:misc_RNA from 1 species
GAUGAAGAACGCAGCAAAAUGCGAUAAGUAAUGUGAAUUGCAGAAUUCAGUGAAUCAUCGAAUCUUUGAACGCACAUUGCGCCCGCUGGUAUUCCGGCGGGCAUGCCUGUUCGAGCGUCAUUUCAACCCUCAAGCCCCCGGGUUUGGUGUUGGGGAUCGGCUCUGCCCUUCUGGGCGGUGCCGCCCCCGAAAUACAUUGGCGGUCUCGCUGCAGCCUCCAUUGCGUAGUAGCUAACACCUCGCAACUGGAACGCGGCGCGGCCAUGCCGUAAAACCCCAACUUCUGAAUGUUGACCUCGGAUCAGGUAGAAAUACCCGCUGAACUUAAGCAUAUCAAUAAGCGGAGGA